rnacentral:rRNA from 1 species
AUUGAACGCUGGCGGAAUGCUUUACACAUGCAAGUCGAACGGCAGCACGGACUUCGGUCUGGUGGCGAGUGGCGAACGGGUGAGUAAUGUAUCGGAACGUGCCCAGUCGUGGGGGAUAACGUAGUGAAAAUUACGCUAAUACCGCAUACGAUCUAUGGAUGAAAGCGGGGGAUCGCAAGACCUCGCGCGAUUGGAGCGGCCGAUAUCAGAUUAGGUAGUUGGUGGGGUAAAAGCCCACCAAGCCAACGAUCUGUAGCUGGUCUGAGAGGACGAACAGCCAAGCUGGAACUGAGACACUGUCCAGACUCGUACGGGUGGCAGCAGUGGGGAAUUUUGGACAAUGGGCGAAAGCCUGAUCCAGCCAUUCCGCGUGCAGGAUGAAGGCCCUCGGGUUGGAAACUGCUUUUGUACAGAACGAAAAGGUUUCUACUAAUACUAGGAGCUCAUGACGGUACUGUAAGAAUAAGCACCGGCUAACUACGUGCCAGCCGCCGCCGUAA